rnacentral:rRNA from 1 species
GAGACGACGCUGGCGGCGCGCCUAACACAUGCAAGUCGAACGAGCGAGAGAGAGCUUGCUUUCUCGAGCGAGUGGCGAACGGUGAGUAACGCGUGAGGAACCUGCCUCAAAGAGGGGACAACAGUUGGAAACGACUGCUAAUACCGCAUAAGCCCACGGCUCGGCAUCGAGCAGAGGGAAAAGGAGCAAUCCGCUUUGAGAUGGCCUCGCGUCCGAUUAGCUAGUUGGUGAGGUAACGGCCCACCAAGGCGACGAUCGGUAGCCGGACUGAGAGGUUGAACGGCCACAUUGGGACUGAGACACGGCCCAGACUCCUACGGGAGGCAGCAGUGGGGAAUAUUGCACAAUGGGGGAAACCCUGAUGCAGCGACGCCGCGUGGAGGAAGAAGGUCUUCGGAUUGUAAACUCCUGUUGUUGAGGAAGAUAAUGACGGUACUCAACAAGGAAGUGACGGCUAACUACGUG